rnacentral:lncRNA from 1 species
UCUGAAUUCAGAAUAUCCCCAGACAGGUCAAUUUGAUCCUUAAGGGAAAUACAUACAAUACAAAAGGAUUUAAAGGGUUAGAAUGCCUUCUUUAUGUAAAUUGGGAAAAGUUGUUUUCUCAGCUAGUUUUGGGAAAAAGUAACUGUGGAAGAUGAUCUAGAAACCGAUUCCCUUGCUUAAAUUUACUUGACUUAGCAGCAUAUCUCUUGCAGUGACUUCAUGCACUAUUCCUUAUUCCAUUUUGGAAAACACUAUGCUAAAUCAUAGGCAUCAUUCUAUCUUCUUAUUGUGUUUUUAUUUUUUAUUUUUAUUUUUCUGAGAUGGAGUCUCGCUGUUAACCAGGCUGGAGUGCAGCGGCCUGAUCUUGGCUCACUGAAACCUCCCCUUCCCAGGUUCAAGCGA